UAAGGUGGUUAUAGCGACGGGGCUCACCUCUUACCAUUCCGAACAGAGAAGUUAAGCCCGUUUGCGCCGAUGGUACUGCAUCUCGUGGGAGAGUAGGUCGUCGCCUUUU
rfam:Gelidibacter algens strain ACAM 536 contig00008, whole genome shotgun sequence.